rnacentral:sRNA from 1 species
AGCCAAAGGUAGUGAGUUAUCUCAAUUAGUUCUUCAUAGUCAGUUACAGAUCAAACUCCUUGCUCUACUUUUUUUCCUCCCCUUCUCACUAUUGCACUGAGUAAUCUUUAA